CCAUCUGACCUCUGACCCAGACAUGUCGUCAUCCGGAUUCUCAUUCUCAUUUGCAAGCCCAACCCUUUUCCAAACUGACCUCUGACCCCCAUUAAGCCACUUUCAUACCUAGCACCCUUUACCCACUCGCCAGACCACGCCCAGCUACUUUCGGCCUUCAUAUCUAGAGAACCAAGCAAGGCACUGGAAAUCCAAGACCACCACUAGAGAGCACUAAUCAAGAUCUAUCAUCAGAUAUAUUAAAAACAUCUGCCGUAAUCGGAUCGCUGGCUAUACCUUAAAAGAUCUAUAGUAUCAUCAUUAAUAUGGUGGAUCAAGUGAAGAGUGUGAGCUAGAGAACUUGGUGCUGCCAUCAUCAGCUCGUCGACAAUGACACUAUAACCUGUUUAAUACGAGAAAUUUAAUAUGAGCAAUGGCUACUAUCCAGCUAUCCCAACAUUGUUCCUCUUGGCCAUACUAACGGACAAGACUGGACAGUUUAAGAUAAGGGUUUAACCGUGUUUGGUUUCUUUAAUAUUGUCCUUACUUACAGGACUGGAGUAUGACCUGAUCGUUCGAGUGUUGCUGGGUAGCUCAGAGGCAUCAAGAGAAUCUACGUUUUCUCAAGCAAAGUUUAACUGAGUUACAAGUUGGGGCCUAGAAUCAGAGAAGUCCAGCAGCCUGCUAAAUCGUUGAAACGUAAUUUGAAGGCAUUCAAUCAUCUUGAAGUUGCCCUGGGUCACUGUAAUCGUGCUGCAGCACAACUGGCAACUCCCCAGGCCCUUGUGAAGCAGCUCCCUAUGUGCAUCUUUUGUGUACUCACUCUGUGCAUUUUCUGUGUACAAAUUUCGAUUAUUGAUUUAUUAAAUAUCUUUGCCGA